rnacentral:rRNA from 1 species
AGAAUCAACGCUGGCGGCGUGCCUAACACAUGCAAGUCGAACGAGAAAGUGGAGCAAUCCAUGAGUAAAGUGGCGCACGGGUGAGUAACACGUGACUAACCUACCCUGGAGUGGGGGAUAACUGAGGGAAACCUUAGCUAAUACCGCAUAACACCUACGGGUCAAAGGAGCAAUUCGCUUUAGGAGGGGUCGCGGCAGAUUAGCUAGUUGGCGGGGUAAUGGCCCACCAAGGCAGUGAUCUGUAUCCGGCCUGAGAGGGCGCACGGACACACUGGAACUGAAACACGGUCCAGACUCCUACGGGAGGCAGCAGUGGGGAAUUUUGCGCAAUGGGGGAAACCCUGACGCAGCAACGCCGCGUGGAGGAUGAAGUCCCUUGGGACGUAAACUCCUUUCGAUCGGGACGAUAAUGACGGUACCGAUAGAAGAAGCCCCGGCUAACGUUCGCGCCAGCAGCCGC